CCUACGGGGGGCAGCAGUGGGGAAUAUUGGACAAUGGGGGCAACCCUGAUCCAGCCAUGCCGCGUGUGUGAAGAAGGCCCUCGGGUUGUAAAGCACUUUCAGUGAGGAAGAACGCCUGGUGGUUAAUACCCAUCAGGAAAGACAUCACUCACAGAAGAAGCACCGGCUAACUCCGUGCCAGCAGCCGCGGUAAUACGGAGGGUGCGAGCGUUAAUCGGAAUUACUGGGCGUAAAGCGCGCGUAGGUGGCUUGAUAAGCCGGUUGUGAAAGCCCCGGGCUCAACCUGGGAACGGCAUCCGGAACUGUCAAGCUAGAGUGCAGAAGAGGAAGGUAGAAUUCCCGGUGUAGCGGUGAAAUGCGAAGAGAUCGGGAGGAAUACCAGUGGCGAAGGCGGCCUUCUGGACUGACACUGACACUGAGGUGCGAAAGCGUGGGUAGCAAACAGGAUUAGAUACCCUUGUAGUC
rnacentral:rRNA from 1 species